CCUAUGGGUGGCAGCAGUGGGGAAUAUUGGACAAUGGGCGAAAGCCUGAUCCAGCCAUGCCGCGUGUGUGAAGAAGGCCUUCGGGUUGUAAAGCACUUUCAGUGGGGAAGAAAGCCUUGGGGCUAAUACCCUCGAGGAAGGACAUCACCCACAGAAGAAGCACCGGCUAACUCCGUGCCAGCAGCCGCGGUAAUACGGAGGGUGCGAGCGUUAAUCGGAAUUACUGGGCGUAAAGCGCGCGUAGGCGGUCUGAUAAGCCGGUUGUGAAAGCCCUGGGCUCAACCUGGGAACGGCAUCCGGAACUGUCAGGCUAGAGUGCAGGAGAGGAAGGUAGAAUUCCCGGUGUAGCGGUGAAAUGCGUAGAGAUCGGGAGGAAUACCAGUGGCGAAGGCGGCCUUCUGGACUGACACUGACGCUGAGGUGCGAAAGCGUGGGUAGCAAACAGGAUUAGAUACCCGAGUAGUC
rnacentral:rRNA from 1 species